rnacentral:rRNA from 1 species
CUUGGUCAUUUAGAGGAAGUAAAAGUCGUAACAAGGUCUCCGUUGGUGAACCAGCGGAGGGAUCAUUAUCGAGUUGCAAAACUCCAACCCUUUGUGAACAUACCUCAGUCGUUGCUUCGGCGGUGGACGGCCUGUUUUUCGGAACGGCCGGAAGCCGCCGGAGGUUCCAAACUCGUAUUUUUUAGUGUAUCUCUGAGCCUGAAAACAAAUAAUUAAAACUUUCAACAACGGAUCUCUUGGUUCUGGCAUCGAUGAAGAACGCAGCGAAAUGCGAUAAGUAAUGUGAAUUGCAGAAUUCAGUGAAUCAUCGAAUCUUUGAACGCACAUUGCGCCCGCCGGUAUUCCGGCGGGCAUGCCUGUUCGAGCGUCAUUUCAACCCUCAAGCCCAGCUUGGUGUUGGGGCACCCGGCCGCCUGGCCGGCCCGGGGCCCUCAAGUGUAUCGGCGGUCUCGUCGGGACUCUGAGCGCAGUAACUCGCGGUAAAACGCGCUUCGCUUGGUCUGUCUCCGGCGGGCUCCGGCCGCUAAACCUCCCCUCUCUCCCAGAGUUGACCUCGGAUCAGGUAGGAUUACCCGCUGAACUUAAGCAUAUCAAUAAGCGGAGGA